UGCCUUACGGCUCAGUAACACGUAGUCAACAUGCCAGGGGACGUGGAUAACCUCGGGAAACUGAGUGAUAAAGCACGAUAGGUCAUCACUUCUGGAAUGGGUAAUGACUUAAAAUCUAUAUGGCCCCUGGAUUGGACUGCGGCCGAUCAGGCUGUUGGUGAGGUAAUGGCCCACCAAACCCUUGUAACCGGUACGGGCUCUGAGAGGAGGAGCCCGGAGAUGGGCACUGAGACAAGGGCCCAGGCCCUAUGGGGCGCAGCAGGCGCGAAACCUCUGCAAUAGGCGAAAGCUUGACAGGGUUACUCUGAGUGAUUUCCGUUAAGGAGAUCUUUUGGCACCUCUAAAAAUGGUGCAGAAUAAGGGGUGGGCAAGUCUGGUGUCAGCCGCCGCGGUAAUACCAGCACCCCGAGUGGUCGGGACGUUUAUUGGGCCUAAAGCAUCCGUAGCCGGUUCUACAAGUCUUCCGUUAAAUCCACCUGCUUAACAGAUGGGCUGCGGAAGAUACUAUAGAGCUAGGAGGCGGGAGAGGCAAGCGGUACUCGAUGGGUAGGGGUAAAAUCCGUUGAUCCAUUGAAGACCACCAGUGGCGAAGGCGGCUUGCCAGAACGCGCUCGACGGUGAGGGAUGAAAGCUGGGGGAGCAAACCGGAUUAGAUACCCGGGUAGUCCCAGCUGUAAACGAUGCAGACUCGGUGAUGAGUUGGCUUAUUGCUAACUCAGUGCCGCAGGGAAGCCGUUAAGUUUGCCGCCUGGGGAGUACGGUCGCAAGACUGAAACUUAAAGGAAUUGGCGGGGGAGCAC
rnacentral:rRNA from 1 species